rnacentral:siRNA from 1 species
AUGGUUGACCAAUGGUUUAUUAGU